rnacentral:rRNA from 1 species
GAUGAACGCUGGCGGCGUGCUUAACACAUGCAAGUCGAACGGAAAGGCUCCUGCUUGCAGGGGUACUCGGGUGGCGAACGGGUGAGUAACACGUGGGUGAUCUGCCCUGCACUUCGGGAUAAGCCUGGGAAACUGGGUCUAAUACCGGAUAGGACGAUGGUUUGGAUGCCAUUGUGGAAAGUUUUUCGGUGUGGGAUGAGCUCGCGGCCUAUCAGCUUGUUGGUGGGGUAAUGGCCUACCAAGGCGUCGACGGGUAGCCGGCCUGAGAGGGUGUACGGCCACAUUGGGACUGAGAUACGGCCCAGACUCCUACGGGAGGCAGCAGUGGGGAAUAUUGCACAAUGGGCGCAAGCCUGAUGCAGCGACGCCGCGUGGGGGAUGACGGCCUUCGGGUUGUAAACUCCUUUCGCUAGGGACGAAGCGCAAGUGACGGUACCUGGAGAAGAAGCACCGGCUAACUACGUG